GAUGAACGCUGGCUACAGGCUUAACACAUGCAAGUCGAGGGGAAACGACGGGGAAGCUUGCUUCCCCGGGCGUCGACCGGCGCACGGGUGAGUAACGCGUAUCCAACCUGCCUCUGACUGAGGGAUAACCCGUCGAAAGUCGGCCUAAUACCUCAUGGCAUCGUCUGCGGGCAUCCAACGACGAUUAAAGAUUUCAUCGGUCAGAGAUGGGGAUGCGUCUGAUUAGCUUGUUGGCGGGGUACCGGCCCACCAAGGCGACGAUCAGUAGGGGUUCUGAGGGGAAGGUCCACUAGAUUGGAACUGAGACACGGUCCAAACUGCGACGGGAGGCAGCAGUGAGGAGUAUUGGGCAAUGGGGGAGGGCCUGAACCAGCCAAGUAGGGUGCAGGAGGACGGCCCUAUGGGUGGUAAACUGCUUUUAUGGGGGGGUAAAGUGAGGGACGUGUCCUUCAUUGCAGGUACCGAAUGAAUAAGGACCGGCUAAUUCCGUG
rnacentral:rRNA from 1 species